GAGCGCCCGUAGCAUACGGGAGCGGCAGACGGGAGAGUAACACGUGGGAACGCGCCCUUCGGUUCGGAAUAACUCAGGGAAACUUGAGCUAAUACCGGAUACGCCCUUACGGGGAAAGAUUUAUUGCCGAAGGAACGGCCGGUCGAUUAGCUAGUUGGUGAGGUAACGGCUCACCAAGGCGACGAUCGGUAGCUGGUCUGAGAGGAUGACCAGCCUCACUGGGACUGAGACACGGCCCAGACUCCUACGGGAGGCAGCAGUGGGGAAUCAUUGGACAAUGGACGCAAGCCUGAUCCAACCAUGCCGCGUGAGUGAUGAAGGCCUUAGGGUUGUAAAGCUCUUUUAGCAGGGAAGAUAAUGACGGUACCUGCAGAAAAAGCCCCGGCUAACUUCGUGCCAGCAGCCGCGGUAAUACGAAGGGGGCUAGCGUUGCUCGGAAUUACUGGGCGUAAAGCGCACGUAGGCGGCUUCUUAAGUCGGUGGUGAAAUCCUGGAGCUCAACUCCAGAACUGCCUUCGAUACUGGGAAGCUCGAGUCCGGGAGAGGUGAGUGGAACUGCGAGUGUAGAGGUGAAAUUCGUAGAUAUUCGCAAGAACACCGAUGGCGAAGGCAGCCUUCUGGGCCAACACUGACGCUCAUGCACGAAAGCGUGGGGAGCAAACAG
rnacentral:rRNA from 1 species